rnacentral:rRNA from 1 species
UACGGGGGGGGCAAGCGUUGUUCGGAAUUACUGGGCGUAAAGGGCUCGUAGGUGGCCAACUAAGUCAGACGUGAAAUCCCUCAGCUUAACUGGGGAACUGCGUCUGAUACUGGAUGGCUUGAGUUUGGGAGAGGGAUGCGGAAUUCCAGGUGUAGCGGUGAAAUGCGUAGAUAUCUGGAGGAACACCGGUGGCGAAGGCGGCAUCCUGGACCAACACUGACACUGAUGAGCGAAAGCCAGGGAGCAAACGGG